UACAGAGGAGCCAAGCGUUGUCCGGAUUGACUGGGCGUAAAGCGCACGCAGGCGGUUGCGCGCGUGGGGUGUGAAAUCUGGCCGCUUAACGGCCAGGCGCCAUCCCAUACGGCGCGACUGGAGUGAUGCAGAGGUCGAUGGAAUUGCCGGUGUAGUGGUGAAAUGCGUAGAGGAACUCGGGCAGGAACACCCAGGGGGAAACCAGUCGACUGGGCAUCUACUGACGGCUGAGGUGCGAGAGCGUGGGGAGCGAACCGG
rnacentral:rRNA from 1 species